UUGAAACACAGGUUCUUGUAUGAUCACCAAAGUUAAGCAACACCAAGCCUUGUCAGUACCCAAGUGGGUGACCACUUGGGAAUACCAGGUGAUGUAAG